rnacentral:rRNA from 1 species
GAUGAACGCUGGCGGCGUGCCUAAUACAUGCAAGUCGAGCGAACGGACGAGAAGCUUGCUUCUCUGAUGUUAGCGGCGGACGGGUGAGUAACACGUGGAUAACCUACCUAUAAGACUGGGAUAACUUCGGGAAACCGGAGCUAAUACCGGAUAAUAUUUUGAACCGCAUGGUUCAAAAGUGAAAGACGGUCUUGCUGUCACUUAUAGAUGGAUCCGCGCUGCAUUAGCUAGUUGGUAAGGUAACGGCUUACCAAGGCAACGAUGCAUAGCCGACCUGAGAGGGUGGUCGGCCACACUGGAACUGAGACACGGUCCAGACUCCUACGGGGGGCAGCAGUAGGGAAUCUUCCGCAAUGGGCGAAAGCCUGACGGAGCAACGCCGCGUGAGUGAUGAAGGUCUUCGGAUCGUAAAACUCUGUUAUUAGGGAAGAACAUAUGUGUAAGUAACUGUGCACAUCUUGACGGUACCUAAUCAGAAAGCCACGGCUAACUACGUG